CAACAACCAUGUCUACAACAACAGCUGCAACAACAGUUACAACAACUCCUCCAGUCGUUCGUCAAUACCUGCUUUCCUUUGAGCUGAAAACCAAAGAUGUCAGAGCUGUAGAGCAGUUGAGAAACUUCAACUACACCAUCAGCACCAACAGUCUGAUACAGAUCACUGGUGUUAACAUCUCUACAGUGUGCUCCCCCAAUAACACAACCUACCAGUGCAGAUGUGAGGAUCAGUAUGGCUGGCCUUGUGACAUGUGCUCCACUUUUGGAAAAUG